UACGGGGGGGGGCAAGCGUUGUUCGGAAUUACUGGGCGUAAAGGGUGCGUAGGCGGCUUUCUAAGUUGGAUGUGAAAACUAUGGGCUCAACCCAUAGCCUGCAUCCAAAACUGGAGAGCUUGGGUUCUGGAGGGGAAAGCGGAAUUCCUGGUGUAGCGGUGAAAUGCGUAGAUAUCAGGAGGAACACCGGUGGCGAAGGCGGCUUUCUGGACAGAUACCGACGCUGAGGCACGAAAGCUAGGGGAGCAAACAGG
rnacentral:rRNA from 1 species